rnacentral:rRNA from 1 species
GACGAACGCUGGCGGCGUGCUUAACACAUGCAAGUCGAACGGAAAGGCCCUGCUUUUGUGGGGUGCUCGAGUGGCGAACGGGUGAGUAACACGUGAGUAACCUGCCCUUGACUUUGGGAUAACUUCAGGAAACUGGGGCUAAUACCGGAUAGGAGCUCCUGCUGCAUGGUGGGGGUUGGAAAGUUUCGGCGGUUGGGGAUGGACUCGCGGCUUAUCAGCUUGUUGGUGGGGUAGUGGAUUACCAAGGCUUUGACGGGUAGCCGGCCUGAGAGGGUGACCGGCAACCUUGCGACUGAGCUACGGCAGAGAGUCCUACGGGAGGCAGCAGUGGGGAAUAGUGCACGAUGCGCCGAAGCCUGAUGCAGCAACGCUGUGUGAGGGAUGACGGCCUUCUGGUAGUCGACCGCUUCCGCCUGUGACGAAGAGUGAGUGAAGGUACCGGAUAAAGAAGCACCGGCUAACUACGUG